GUUUAUAUAGUUUAAUAAAAACAUUAUAAUUUCAAUAUAAAAUUGAUUAAUAAAUUUAUAAAUA
rnacentral:tRNA from 1 species